rnacentral:rRNA from 1 species
GAUGAACGCUGGCGGCGUGCCUAAUACAUGCAAGUCGAGCGAACGGACGAGAAGCUUGCUUCUCUGAUGUUAGCGGCGGACGGGUGAGUAACACGUGGAUAACCUACCUAUAAGACUGGGAUAACUUCGGGAAACCGUAGCUAAUACCGGAUAAUAUUUUGAACCGCAUGGUUCAAAAGUGAAAGACGGUCUUGCUGUCACUUAUAGAUGGAUCCGCGCUGCAUUAGCUAGUUGGUAAGGUAACGGCUUACCAAGGCAACGAUGCAUAGCCGACCUGAGAGGGUGACCGGCCACACUGGAACUGAGACACGGCCCAGACUCCUACGGGAGGCAGCAGUAGGGAAUCUUCCGCAAUGGGCGAAAGCCUGAUGGAGCAACGCCGCGUGAGUGAUGAAGGUCUUCGGAUCGUAAAACUCUGUUAUCAGGGAAGAACAUAUGUGUAAGUAACUGUGCACAGCUUGACGGUACCUAAUCAGAAAGCCACGGCUAACUACGUG